rnacentral:rRNA from 1 species
AUUGAACGCUGGCGGCAUGCCUUACACAUGCAAGUCGAACGGUAACAGGUCUUCGGAUGCUGACAAGUGGCGAACGGGUGAGUAAUACAUCGGAACGUGCCUAGUAGUGGGGGACAACUACUCGAAAGAGUGGCUAAUACCGCAUGAGAUCUACGGAUGAAAGCAGGGGAUCGCAAGACCUUGUGCUACUAGAGCGGCCGAUGGCAGAUUAGGUAGUUGGUGGGAUAAAAGCUUACCAAGCCGACGAUCUGUAGCUGGUCUGAGAGGACGAUCAGCCACACUGGGACUGAGACACGGCCCAGACUCCUACGGGAGGCAGCAGUGGGGAAUUUUGGACAAUGGGCGAAAGCCUGAUCCAGCAAUGCCGCGUGCAGGAUGAAGGCCUUCGGGUUGUAAACUGCUUUUGUACGGAACGAAAAGCCCCGGGUUAAUACCCUGGGGUCAUGACGGUACCGUAAGAAUAAGCACCGGCUAACUACGUGCCAGCCGCCGCAGUAAUAC